rnacentral:rRNA from 1 species
UACGGAGGGUGCAAGUGUUAUUCGGAAUCACUGGGCGUAAAGAGCACGUAGGCGGAUAGGCAAGUCAGAUGUGAAAUCCCGGAGCUCAACUCCGGAACUGCAUUUGAUACUGCCUGUCUUGAGUGAGGUAGAGGGGAGUGGAAUUCCCGGUGUAGAGGUGAAAUUCGUAGAUAUCGGGAGGAACACCAGAGGCGAAGGCGACUCCCUGGGCCUCUACUGACGCUGAGGUGCGAAAGCGUGGGGAGCAAACAGGAUUAGAUACCCGU